GGUUGGGGCAGCUGUAGAGCGCAAAGUAAGAAAGGUCUAUUUGUCUGACAGAAGAGUUUAGGAUCAGCUAGUCAGGUGGCCAGUUGAAGGAGGAGGUCAUCCAUUAAAUUAAUGAGACUUGGCAUAAUAAGUGAGUGAAUUAUAGUCUUGGUGGGGUCUUGUAUGAGACAAGGCUGGUGUAGAACCAAGUGUUCAGAUAGGGAUGACCCUUAAGUACCCGUCAUGGAAAGUCAGAGUGAUCACGACUAAUAUAAUUAAAAUUAGCUUCCUGGAAAGGUUUCCGUACUGAAUGAGGAACAAAUGCAAACUCUGUGUUCAAUAUUUUUU